AUUGUAGUCAUAUGCUUGUCUCAAAGAUUAAGCCAUGCAUGUCUAAGUAUAAGCAAUUAUACCGCGAAACUGCGAAUGGCUCAUUAUAUAAGUUAUAGUUUAUUUGAUAGCACCUUACUACAUGGAUAACUGUGGUAAUUCUAGAGCUAAAACAUGCUAAAAAUCCCGACUUCGGAAGGGAUGUGUUUAUUAGAUUAAAAACCAAUGCCCUUCGGGGCUGCUUGGUGAUUCAUAAUAACCUCUCGAAUCGCACGGCCUUGCGCCGGCGAUGGUUCAUUCAAAUUUCUUCCCUAUCAACUUUCGAUGCGAAGGUAUUGUCUUCGCAUGGUUACAACGGGUAACGGAGGGUUAGGGCUCGACCCCGGAGAAGGAGCCUGAGAAACGGCUACUACAUCCAAGGAAGGCAGCAGGCGCGCAAAUUACCCAAUCCCGACACGGGGAGGUAGUGACAAUAAAUACUGAUACAGGGCUCUUUUGGGUCUUGUAAUUGGAAUGAGUACAAUUUAAAUCCCUUAACGAGGAACAAUUGGAGGGCAAGUCUGGUGCCAGCAGCCGCGGUAAUUCCAGCUCCAAUAGCGUAUAUUAAAGUUGUUGUGGUUAAAAAGCUCGUAGUUGAACCUUGGGCCUGGCUGGCCGGUCCCCCUCACCGGGUGCACUGGUCCGGCCGGGCCUUUCCCUCUGUGGAACCGCAUGCCCUUCACUGGGUGUGCCGGGGAAACAGGACUUUUACUUUGAAAAAAUUAGAGUGCUCCAGGCAGGCCUAUGCUCGAAUACAUUAGCAUGGAAUAAUAGAAUAGGACGUGUGGUUCUAUUUUGUUGGUUUCUAGGACCGCCGUAAUGAUUAAUAGGGACAGUCGGGGGCAUCAGUAUUCAAUUGUCAGAGGUGAAAUUCUUGGAUCUAUUGAAGACUAACUACUGCGAAAGCAUUUGCCAAGGAUGUUUUCAUUGAUAAGGAACGAAAGUUAGGGGAUCGAAGACGAUCAGAUACCGUCGUAGUCUUAACUAUAAACUAUGCCGACUAGGGAUCGGACGGUGUUUAUACUUGACCCGUUCGGCACCUUUCGAGAAAUCAAAGUGCUUGGGCUCCAGGGGGAGUAUGGUCGCAAGGCUGAAACUUAAAGAAAUUGACGGAAGGGCACCACCAGGGGUGGAGCCUGCGGCUUAAUUUGACUCAACACGGGGAAACUCACCAGGUCCAGACACAAUGAGGAUUGACAGAUUGAGAGCUCUUUCUUGAUUUUGUGGGUGGUGGUGCAUGGCCGUUCUUAGUUGGUGGAGUGAUUUGUCAGCUUAAUUGCGAUAACGAACGAGACCUUCUUCUGCUAAAUAGCCCGAACUGCUUUGGCAGUCCGCCGGCUUCUUAGAGAGACUAUCGGCUCAAGCCGAUGGAAGUUGGAGGCAAUAACAGGU
rnacentral:rRNA from 1 species